rnacentral:lncRNA from 1 species
AUAGUUUCAGAGAGAAAUAAUGAAAUACUAGCGUAGUAACCAACACAAUGCGGCGGAUAGAUAAUUACGAAAAGAAUUAAAAACAUCAACGAAAAAAAAAAACAGUGAUAACAAAAAUAAUGAUAAGAAAUAAGAUUCAUCUUGCAUAUGAACGAAGAUAACAGCCGAAAGAAGAGAAAAAAAAAGGACUUAAGCUGGUCCACAUUUAAUAAUGGUCAUAUGACAACUUUAGAAGAAAUAAUAUAUAGAUAUAGAUAUAGAUAUAAAUGUAUAAAAGGUGAAUGAUUACC